GACGAACCGAGCGAACGUUGUUCGGAAUCACUGGGCUUAAAGGGCGCGUAGGCGGGCUGCCGAGUUUGGGGUGAAAUCCUCCGGCUCAACCGGAGCAGUGCCUCGAAUACUGGCGGUCUCGAGGGAGGUAGGGGCGUGCGGAACUGUGGGUGGAGCGGUGAAAUGCGUUGAUAUCCACAGGAACUCCGGUGGCGAAGGCGGCACGCUGGACCUUUUCUGACGCUGAGGCGCGAAAGCCAGGGGAGCGAACGGG
rnacentral:rRNA from 1 species